GGAGUGUAUCUCAGUGGUAGAGCACUUGUCUAGUUUGCAUGAGACCCUGAGUUCAAUUCUCAGUCCUCCA
rnacentral:tRNA from 1 species